rnacentral:lncRNA from 1 species
UUCAUGUGGUGCUAUCUUUGUAGUGUGUGAGGGAGUGGAAUGUUUGCACAUGGGAGAGGUAUUUUCCCUCUCUGCGUAGCCUUUCAUCCCAAGAUUGUGAGAAAGAUCCCAAAGAGGCCAGGGACAGAUCCCUGAUUUGCAGGUUUAAAAAAAAAAAUCAAGAUGUGUUUUUAGAGAACCAAGACCCAGGGGUUGUGAUCCACGAGCCUAAGAUUAUUGCUGCAGAAAUGGAGGCAUCAGGAAGGCCAGGCUGCUGUACAGUGGAUAACUAUGGCCUUCAGAGAGGCCCAGUCUUCUGGCCCAAUUUGGCUCUUUCAUUUGUAUACAUUUUUUUAAAAAUAAUUUUGAAUUCUAGGGCCAGCAAGAUGGCUUAUUGGUACCACCAUUAGUUUGAUCCAUGGAGCCCACAUGGUGGAAGGAGAGACCAACGCCUACAAGCUAUCCUCUGACUUUCACACAGGCACAUGGCAUGCAUAUGUACCACCGAGACCACACCCCGAAAAUAACCGUAAAGAAAAUUACACUAGUUUUAAGUCAUAGUAACAGUGAGCCAUAUUUUUUAUAGUCCUUGAAGGCCGGCAGUCAUUACAGCCCUGGGCCACUGGUGUGCCUGAGUCAUUCUUUUACUUGACCUGCCAUCAGCGUUGAGCUGGACUCACCUCAGAAGAAAGGCUGCUGAGAAUGGCAUGCAUCACACCCUGCAUUUGAUGCAAUGUAUAUUUAAAAAUAAACAAGUAGAGAAUUAAGAGGGUGGCCCACCUAGGCUUUGGGGUUCUAAGGGUGGUGCAGCUCAUAGUUACUGCUGUGGGGCCGGAAGACAGAGCUGAGGCUCCGUGGACCCUGGAAUGGGUGAACCAGCUUUGUAAUGUCCAGCCUCCUCUAAACUCCUCCCCAGUGCCUUUUCAUACAAAUAGGCCUGGAGCACCUCCUCUCCUCCACAAAGCCCACUGGUCUGGGAUAGCAUCCCUUCAGCCCUCACUAUGCUAAUGCGAGCAUGCCUUAGGGGAAACAGUAUGUCCACACACAGAAAUAGCUGCCCGAUGGUGAAAUUCACAAAAUCAUGUGACACAUACUAGAUAGAGUCCACCCAGGAGAUAAAGGGGUUUGAUGAAGCCCCUGAAUUUUGCUCAGUGUGUGACUGCCUUGACCCUUAGUACUGUCAGCUCUAUCACAGUCCCACAUGCCUCAUGUCUUGGUCUUCCUGUGAGUCUGUCUAGGAGUGUAACUGGAUAUGUUAUUGUAAACCAGUGGUUCUCAACUUGUGGGCUGUGUCCCCACAAAGGGGUCACAUAUCAGAUAUUUACAUUAUAAUUCAUAACAGUAGCAAUACUACAGUUAUGAAGUAGCAACAGAAUAAUUUUAUAAUUGUUGGGGGGGUCACCAGAACAGAAGAAACUAUUAAAGGGUCACAGCAUAGGAAGGUUGAGAACCACUACUAUAAAUUAUGAUUUUUUUUUUUUUUUUGCUUUCAGUCUAUAUGCCUUGGGUAUCCAUCCCCAAAGUAACUGGUUAUGGAAUAAACAAUGCAAUGGGG